rnacentral:rRNA from 1 species
UCUUGGGUCAUUUAGAGGAAGUAAAAGUCGUAACAAGGUCUCCGUAGGUGAACCUGCGGAGGGAUCAUUACAGAGUUCUCGCCCUACCGGGUAGAUCUCCCACCCACUGUUAUCGUUACUGUCGUUGCUUUGGCGGGCCGCCGGGCCCUGCCCGGCCGCCGGCUCCGGCUGGCGCGUGCCCGCCAAAGGCCCGCAAACUCUGAAUGUUAGUGUCGUCUGAGUACUAUACAAUAGUUAAAACUUUCAACAACGGAUCUCUUGGUUCUGGCAUCGAUGAAGAACGCAGCGAAAUGCGAUAAGUAAUGCGAAUUGCAGAAUUCAGUGAGUCAUCGAAUCUUUGAACGCACAUUGCGCCCUGUGGUAUUCCGCAGGGCAUGCCUGUUCGAGCGUCAUUUCAACCCUCAAGCUCUGCUUGGUGUUGGGCCCCGCCCCCGUGGCCGGCCCCAAAGUCAGUGGCGGUGCCGUCCGGCUCUAAGCGUAGUACAUCUCUCGCUCCAGGGCCCGGCGGUUGCCUGCCAGAACCCAAACUCUUAUGGUUGACCUCGGAUCAGGUAGGGAUACCCGCUGAACUUAAGCAUAUCAAUAAGCGGGAGGAA